UGGGGUAUAGCUCAGAGGUAGAGCACAUGCUUAGCAUGCACGAAGUCCUGGGUUCAAUCCUUAGUACCUCCA
rnacentral:tRNA from 1 species